rnacentral:misc_RNA from 1 species
AGAAGUUCCAGUUGACGCGAAACUACCAGACCUCCUCCAGGCAGAAUCAGUAUAUCUGUUCCUCUCAAAAGAUGGCAAAGAAUGUUUACCACUUUUCCAUGACAAACUUCUGCCAGUUGAUGGAGAAGAUAUAAUCUCGGAGCUUGAGAUGUCUGCAUCAUUUUCUCUUUCUUUCACAUUUGAUGGAUCUGGCUUAUACUCAUUUCUGUUGUCAGUGGAGUCAGCACCUUUAGAAUUAGAGAAAAUUGCUUCCUGAUCAGAGCCUGAAUCAAAUUCCUCCGAAGCAUCAGUUAUUCCUUCAUUCUCUAAGAUGGAUAAAACAGCUGCUGUGGCCUUCUCAGCCUUCUUUCUUUGUAGUGACACAAUCUUUAGCUGAUCUUCCAAUUCCAAGACCCUCUCAGCUAGUUCAUCAGCUCUCUGCCUUGCUGUUUGUGAGACAGACCUUUCAGCCAAUAAUCGUGCUCGGAGAAAUUCAAUUGUCAUACUCGAAUUUUCCAUGCCAACAGUUUUCCUCUGAUCUUGAUCUUUU